GGGGCUUGUGAAAUGGCCUAGUUAAGCACCAGAUUUGAAUUAUUUGGGGUUACAAACCGACGAUACGUGCAAACGUUUUGCUGCUGAAUUUUUUUUAAUUUUUUUUUUUUUUUUUUGCAUGCAAGCUCGAUAUCAGUUUCCAGCAUGCCAUAUCAGAAGACUGUGGACAAAUAUGCAAAAAGCAUGUUUCUGCUGAAGGGGAGAGUGCUAGCUUGUGGAGCUAAGCUACCAAUGGAAACAGCAGGCGCAGGCUACUUGCUGAAAACUAAGGUUUAUCUGAAGCUUUGCUGCUCUUUAAAGCGUCAGAAGCUGCUUAUUACUCCUUGAGCCAUACAGCAAAUGCAGGCAUGAAAACAGGUCACUGAGUCAACAUCACGACACUGGUCUCCACGGUUCUAGGACGACAUCGCCUGGCCUGUGUGCAGUUUACAAGUCAAUCAUCAGGCGCUCACAUGCGUGUACAUUGCUCUGCCACAAGAUGGCGUCCCAAGAUUGCUCAGUCAAAUCAGAGCGUUGUAGCUGCUGAAAGUUCAAGCAUGUUACCUGUUAAACCUGUUGACUGAGGUGAUGGAUUGUCCAUAAAAUAAGGAACAAACAGAGAAUAAACUGAUUUCUUCCUCCUUCUUCCUUGUUCCCAGUACCAUUACAGGUUAUAGCUCAUAUAACUCUCUCAUGUGGAGAUGAGUGAAAAAAAAGAAGCCCUAAUUUGACUUAAACCACUUCUGAUAAUAUAAAGAAUCGUCAUUUGUUUGGUCAGACACUAACGCUACGCUGCAUUUCUUUACUGAGAGGGCCCCUACUCUCUUUCUAUCAUGGUGCAUGACAGAGAGAGAGAGAGAGAGAGUGAGCAGAUGACAAAGAUAAGACACGGA